rnacentral:lncRNA from 1 species
GCGCCCAGACCCUCGAGUGUAUUGAAAGCUAUACUGUUACAUUGGGCCUUUAUCAACUUGUAUUGCGCCGCCUGCUAGGAGGCCUAUUCCCGAGCUAUCGAGCGGCAACAACGCUACUUGCACACACCUACGUCACCGUCCGGUGAAAACAACUCACGUACUAUCUGCAUAUUUUUGAGGUCACCGUUGUAGAUUUGAUAGGG